rnacentral:rRNA from 1 species
AGACUCCUACGGGAGGCAGCAGUAGGGAAUCUUCGGCAAUGGACGAAAGUCUGACCGAGCAACGCCGCGUGAGCGAUGAAGGCCUUCGGGUCGUAAAGCUCUGUUGUCAGAGAAGAACAAGUACCGGAGUAACUGCCGGUACCUUGACGGUACCUGACCAGAAAGCCACGGCUAACUACGUGCCAGCAGCCGCGGUAAUACGUAGGUGGCAAGCGUUAUCCGGAAUUAUUGGGCGUAAAGCGCGCGCAGGCGGUCUUUUAAGUCUGAUGUGAAAGCCCACGGCUCAACCGUGGAGGGUCAUUGGAAAUUGGGAGACUUGAGUGCAGGAGAGAAAAGUGGAAUUCCACGUGUAGCGGUGAAAUGCGUAGAGAUGUGGAGGAACACCAGUGGCGAAGGCGGCUUUUUGGCCUGUAACUGACGCUGAGGCGCGAAAGCGUGGGAGCAAACAGGAUUAGAUACCCUGGUAGUCCACGCCGUAAACGAUGAGUGCUAGGUGUUGGGGGGUUCCACCCUCAGUGCUGACGUUAACACAUUAAGCACUCCGCCUGGGGAGUACGGCCGCAAGGCUGAAACUCAAAGGAAUUGACGGGGGCCCGCACAAGCAGUGGAGCAUGUGGUUUAAUUCGAAGCAACGCGAAGAACCUUACCAGGUCUUGACAUCCUCUGACCACUUGAGAGAUCAAGCUUUUCCCCUUCGGGGGACAGAGUGACAGGUGGUGCAUGGUUGUCGUCAGCUCGUGUCGUGAGAUGUUGGGUUAAGUCCCGCAACGAGCGCAAACCCUUGACCUUAGUUGCCAGCAUUCAGUUGGGCACUCUAAGGUGACUGCCGGUGACAAACCGGAGGAAGGUGGGGAUGACGUCAAAUCAUCAUGCCCCUUAUGACCUGGGCUACACACGUGCUACAAUGGGUGGUACAAAGGGUUGCAAAGCCGCGAGGCCGAGCCAAUCCCAAAAAGCCACUCUCAGUUCGGAUUGUAGGCUGCAACUCGCCUACAUGAAGCCGGAAUUGCUAGUAAUCGCGGAUCAGCAUGCCGCGGUGAAUACGUUCCCGGGCCUUGUACACACCGCCCGU